AUGCUACAUGAGGAAAAGGCGGCAGCCAUAAAAAUAUUAAAGAAGAAGGGACAAUUGCCUACAGAACUAACAAAAGAGGAUGAGGAUGGUAACCGCUGGCCAACUAAGGAAGCUUUAAUUUCUGCAAAGAGAGUUGACUUUGGAACAGACGUUGGUUGGCGUCUACUAUGUGAGCACUGGACUAGUACUGGAUUUAGAGGGUUAUCUUUAACCAACAAGAGGAACAGACUUGCUAAUGGGAACACUGUCUUCCAUUGCAGUGGUGCUAGAAAUGUUGUCGCCACGCGUCAAUUUCUGAAACUCAAAACCGGGAAAGACCCUGGAAUUUCUGGUGCUUGGCUUCACACGCACAAAUUGCAUCGAGGGACUGAUGAAGAGCAGAUAUGCAGUCAAAGAACUGCUGAUCAUUGGGAGGAUUUUGAUAAGGCAAUGAAAAAUGCCCAUGGAGAAAAUUGGGAAGAGGAGCACCCGGAUUUAGAUGGACAGAUCAUCUAUGAAGCAUCAGGCAGAAUGCCACAUGGCAGGCUGGGAAUUGCUAAUGAGUUGUUUAGCAAAGCAGAGAAGGCGAAGUUUAAGUCUAAAAGGGCGAUGGCCUCACAGCCGGUGCAGUCUGCUAAGGAGGAGCGUCUAGAAAGAGAAAACAAACAUUUGAAGCAGGAGAUCAAGCGUCUUCGAGGCAUUGAGCUUGUUGUUCAGUCUUUGGCUGAGAAAGGGGGAGUCGACUUUGAUGGCAUAAUGCAAUCAGCAGCAGAUGACUUGGUGGAUUUCAAAGGGGACGAGGUGAUGUGCCUCAACACCAAACCGAAAAGGGAAUGGGAAGCAGGACUGGAGGCAGUACGAGUCAUGGAAAUGAUGAUGAGGAUGACUACUAUGGCAAUGGGGGAUAUGAUAACUAUGGCGAGGGUGAUCUGUAUGGUGAUGAGCACUAUGAUCACUAUGGCCAUGGGGAAUAUGAUGACUAUGGAGAUGAGGAUGACUAUGGCUAUGGCGGUGGCGAUGGCGAUGAUGAUGAUUGGCUAUAAAAGUCUAAUGAUAUUCAAGUCAUGCCAAAAUGUAGUUAUGUUAGAUAUUUGA
rnacentral:rRNA from 1 species